rnacentral:rRNA from 1 species
GACGUGCUAAUCUGCGAUAAGCGUCGGUAAGGUGAUAUGAACCGUUAUAACCGGCGAUUUCCGAAUGGGGAAACCCAGUGUGAUUCGUCACACUAUCAUUAACUGAAUCCAUAGGUUAAUGAGGCGAACCGGGGGAACUGAAACAUCUAAGUACCCCGAGGAAAAGAAAUCAACCGAGAUUCCCCCAGUAGCGGCGAGCGAACGGGGAGCAGCCCAGAGCCUGAAUCAGUGUGUGUGUUAGUGGAAGCGUCUGGAAAGGCGUGCGAUACAGGGUGACAGCCCCGUACACAAAAAUGCACAUACUGUGAGCUCGAUGAGUAGGGCGGGACACGUGGUAUCCUGUCUGAAUAUGGGGGGACCAUCCUCCAAGGCUAAAUACUCCUGACUGACCGAUAGUGAACCAGUACCGUGAGGGAAAGGCGAAAAGAACCCCGGCGAGGGGAGUGAAAAAGAACCUGAAACCGUGUACGUACAAGCAGUGGGAGCACGCUUAGGCGUGUGACUGCGUACCUUUUGUAUAAUGGGUCAGCGACUUAUAUUCUGUAGCAAGGUUAACCGAAUAGGGGAGCCGAAGGGAAACCGAGUCUUAACUGGGCGUUAAGUUGCAGGGUAUAGACCCGAAACCCGGUGAUCUAGCCAUGGGCAGGUUGAAGGUUGGGUAACACUAACUGGAGGACCGAACCGACUAAUGUUGAAAAAUUAGCGGAUGACUUGUGGCUGGGGGUGAAAGGCCAAUCAAACCGGGAGAUAGCUGGUUCUCCCCGAAAGCUAUUUAGGUAGCGCCUCGUGAAUUCAUCUCCGGGGGUAGAGCACUGUUUCGGCAAGGGGGUCAUCCCGACUUACCAACCCGAUGCAAACUGCGAAUACCGGAGAAUGUUAUCACGGGAGACACACGGCGGGUGCUAACGUCCGUCGUGAAGAGGGAAACAACCCAGACCGCCAGCUAAGGUCCCAAAGUCAUGGUUAAGUGGGAAACGAUGUGGGAAGGCCCAGACAGCCAGGAUGUUGGCUUAGAAGCAGCCAUCAUUUAAAGAAAGCGUAAUAGCUCACUGGUCGAGUCGGCCUGCGCGGAAGAUGUAACGGGGCUAAACCAUGCACCGAAGCUGCGGCAGCGACGCUUAUGCGUUGUUGGGUAGGGGAGCGUUCUGUAAGCCUGUGAAGGUGUGCUGUGAGGUAUGCUGGAGGUAUCAGAAGUGCGAAUGCUGACAUAAGUAACGAUAAAGCGGGUGAAAAGCCCGCUCGCCGGAAGACCAAGGGUUCCUGUCCAACGUUAAUCGGGGCAGGGUGAGUCGACCCCUAAGGCGAGGCCGAAAGGCGUAGUCGAUGGGAAACAGGUUAAUAUUCCUGUACUUGGUGUUACUGCGAAGGGGGGACGGAGAAGGCUAUGUUGGCCGGGCGACGGUUGUCCCGGUUUAAGCGUGUAGGCUGGUUUUCCAGGCAAAUCCGGAAAAUCAAGGCCGAGGCGUGAUGACGAGGCACUACGGUGCUGAAGCAACAAAUGCCCUGCUUCCAGGAAAAGCCUCUAAGCAUCAGGUAACAUCAAAUCGUACCCCAAACCGACACAGGUGGUCAGGUAGAGAAUACCAAGGCGCUUGAG